rnacentral:rRNA from 1 species
UACAGAGGUGGCAAGCGUUGUUCGGAUUUAUUGGGCGUAAAGGGUCCGUAGGCGGUUCGGCAAGUCAGAUGUGAAAUCCUACAGCUUAACUGUAGAACUGCAUUUGAAACUUCCGGACUAGAGUAUGAGAGGGGUUAAGGGAAUUCCCGGUGUAAGGGUGAAAUCUGCAGAGAUCGGGAGGAACACCAGUCGCGAAGGCGCUUAACUGGCUCAUUACUGACGCUCAGGGACGAAAGCUAGGGGAGCAAACGGG